AGAGUUAAAGUUCAAUAAGAAAUGUUGAGUUAACAGUAACUUUACUACUACCAUUAACAUAUAGAAAAACGUAACCAACAUUAAAUUGAGUGAAGGUAGAAUUAUUCCUUACUUAAACUUCCUCUCUCCGAGCGAAUUCUUCCAUAUUUAAAAAGGAAAAUGUGGACAGAUGAGAUUCCAGUGCAAAAUCUUCAACUUCGUUGGUGUUGUUGUGUUGGUUUUGAAAGGAUAUCAUAUGG
rnacentral:lncRNA from 1 species